rnacentral:rRNA from 1 species
GAGUGAUCGAAAGAUGAAAAGCACUUUGAAAAGAGAGUUAAACAGCACGUGAAAUUGUUGAAAGGGAAGCGUUUGCGACCAGACUCGCCCGCGGGGUUCAGCCGGCACUCGUGCCGGUGUACUUCCCCGUGGGCGGGCCAGCGUCGGUUUGGGCGGCCGGUCAAAGGCCCUCGGAAUGUAUCACCUCUCGGGGUGUCUUAUAGCCGAGGGUGCAAUGCGGCCUGCCCGGACCGAGGAACGCGCUUCGGCUGGAACGCUGGCGUAAUGGUCGUAA